GGGAGCUCUACCCAAGGAAAAGGAAAAAGAAGAAAAGGACUUAUUCAUUUGCGGUUCAGCCUCAUCCCCCACCACACCCAAGACUUUGAGGCUAAGGGAAGGAAGCCUUAACUCAAGAAUUCAGAGCAGAAAGGGCCUUCGGAGACCAUCAAUCCUGCCAUCUGCUGUCCUAUCCCAUUAAGACAACUGGCUGGAACCCCAAGAAGCACCAUUUGGCUCUGCACUUACUGCUUAGCAAUCAAGACAGCCUACAGAGAAUGAUGGCUCUAAAAGCACAGGACUGGAGAGCGACAGAUUCAGCCUGGGCCAACACUCUGGCCUCUCAGCUCUGGAGCUCACAACACUGAGUGAGCUGCCUUCCUGACACACUUGUCCCAGUCCCCACUGCAAACACAGGCCACAGUCAUCACGAUGGAACCGAGAUAAACCCUUUUAUUUAUU